rnacentral:rRNA from 1 species
AUGUCGUCAGGUAAUAAGGAGAUUCUAAUUAAAUCGGUUGCCCAGGCUAUCCCUUCUUAUGUUAUGAGUGUGUUUAGGCUCCCUGCUUCUGUUUGCGAUGAGCUAACACGGUUCAUGAGGCAAUAUUGGUGGGGUGUCGAGAAUGGGAAGAAGAAGAUGGCCUGGAUGAGCUGGGACAGAAUGAUGCUACCAAAGCCUAUGGGAGGCAUGGGUUUCAGGGACAUGCGAGCUUUCAACCAGGCCUUGUUGGCCAAACAAGCCUGGCGCUUGCUGGACUCGCCAGGAAGUUUAUGUGCACGAUUACUGAAGGCUAAAUAUUACCCUUCAGGCCAUAUUCUGGACACUGUGUUUUCAGGCAAUGGCUCCGCGGUGUGGAAAGGUAUUUUGCAUGGUCUUGAGCUUUUG